GUUCCUACGGGGGGCAGCAGUGGGGGAUAUUGCACAAUGGGGGGAACCCUGAUGCAGCGACGCCGCGUGGGCGAUGGAGCGCUUCGGCAUGUAAAGCCCUAUCAGCAGGGAAGAAAAUGACGGUACCUGACUAAGAAGCCCCGGCUAAAUACGUGCCAGCAGCCGCGGUAAUACGUAUGGGGCAAGCGUUAUCCGGAUUUAUUGGGUUUAAAGGGUGCGCAGGCGGCGAGUUAAGUCAGCGGUAAAAUUUCGGGGCUCAACCCCGACGAGCCGUUGAAACGGGCUUGCUAGAGUGGGCGAGAAGA
rnacentral:rRNA from 1 species